rnacentral:rRNA from 1 species
GACGAACGCUGGCGGCGUGCUUAACACAUGCAAGUCGAACGCUGAAGCUUGGUGCUUGCACUGGGUGGAUGAGUGGCGAACGGGUGAGUAAUACGUGAGUAACCUGCCCUUGACUCUGGGAUAAGCCUGGGAAACUGGGUCUAAUACUGGAUAUGACAUGCCACUGCAUGGUGGUGUGUGGAAAGGGUUUUACUGGUUUUGGAUGGGCUCACGGCCUAUCAGCUUGUUGGUGGGGUAAUGGCCUACCAAGGCGACGACGGGUAGCCGGCCUGAGAGGGUGACCGGCCACACUGGGACUGAGACACGGCCCAGACUCCUACGGGAGGCAGCAGUGGGGAAUAUUGCACAAUGGGCGGAAGCCUGAUGCAGCGACGCCGCGUGAGGGAUGACGGCCUUCGGGUUGUAAACCUCUUUCAGCACGAAAGAAGCGAGAGUGACGGUACGUGCAGAAGAAGCGCCGGCUAACUACGU